AUUGAACGCUGGCGGUAGGCCUAACACAUGCAAGUCGAGCGGACGAAGCGAGCUUGCUCCUGGAUGCAGCGGCGGACGGGUGAGUAAUGCCUAUGAAUCUGCCUGGUAGAGGGGGAUAACGUCCGGAAACGGGCGCUAAUACCGCAUACGUCAUGAGGGAGAAAGUGGGGGAUCUUCGGCCCUUACGCUAUUUGAUGAGCCUAGGUCUGACUAGCUAGGUGGUGGGGUAAGGGCCUACCAAGGCGACGAUCCGUAACGGGUCUGAGAGGAUGACCAGUCACACUGGAGCUGAGGCACGGUCCAGACUCCUACGGGAGGCAGCAGUGGGGAAUAUUGGACGCUGGAGGGAAGCCUGAUCCAGCCAUGCCGCGUGUGUGGCGAAGGUCUUCGGAUUGUAAAGAACUUUAAGUUGGGAGGAAGGGCAGUAAGUUAAUACCAUGAUGUUUUGACGUUACCAAAAGAAUAAGCACCGGCUAACUUCGUG
rnacentral:rRNA from 1 species